UAAUACGUAGGGACCAAGCGUUGUUCGGAUUUACUGGGCGUAAAGGGCGCGUAGGCGGCGUGGUAAGUCAGCUGUGAAAUCUCCGAGCUUAACUCGGAACGGUCAGCUGAUACUGCUGUGCUAGAGUACAGAAAGGGCAAUCGGAAUUCUUGGUGUAGCGGUGAAAUGCGUAGAUAUCAAGAGGAACACCUGAGGCGAAGGCGGGUUGCUAGGCUGAUACUGACGCUGAGGCGCGAAAGCUAGGGUAGCAAACGGGAUUAGAUACCCCGGUAGUCCUAGCCCUAAACGAUGAAUGCUUGGUGUCUGGAGUUUUAAGUCUCCGGGUGCCGUCGCUAACGCUUUUAGCAUUCCGCCUGGGGAGUACGCACGCAAGUGUG
rnacentral:rRNA from 1 species